GUCGUCGUGGCCCGAGUGGUUAAGGCGACAGACUUGAAAUCUGUUGGGCUCUGCCCGCACAAGUUCGAAUCUUGUCGGCGACG
rnacentral:tRNA from 1 species